GCUGGGCGAGGUGGCACAUGCCUGUAAUCCCAGUGACUCAGGAGGCUGAGGCAGGAGGAUCACAAGUUCAAAGCCAGCCUCAGCAAGUCAGGAAGACCCUGUCUCAA
rnacentral:sRNA from 1 species